ACUAUGGAGAGUAUAAGGAACUAUGAGUAGAUACUAAGUAUUGAAAAUAUACUCGUUGAAAUAGUAA
rnacentral:ncRNA from 1 species